AUGUCUCGGCUAUCCAGCAUGAGUUUAAUUCCGAACUUCACAGUUGCCAAAGGUUCUAAGUGCCAUAGUUGUGUGCAAUCUAAGCAACCUCGAAAGCCUCAUAAGGCUGCCGAGGAGAGAAACUUGGCACCUCUAGAACUCAUACAUUCUGAUCUUUGUGAGAUGAAUGGUGUGUUGACAAAAGGUGGAAAGAGAUAUUUCAUGACUUUGAUUGAUGAUGCGACUAGAUUUUGCUAUGUUUAUUUGUUGCAAACUAAAGAUGAAGCAUUAGACUACUUUAAAAUCUAUAAAGCUGAAGUUGAAAAUCAACUAGAGAGAAAGAUCAAGCGUCUUAAAGUUCCCAACAAUAAUAAAGAGAAAACCCCUUAUGAGGAGUGGGUUGGGAGAAAACCAUCACUUUCUUAUUUGCGCACUUGGGGAUGUUUGGCAAAGGUCAAUAUUCCUAUUCCUAAGAAACGCAAACUUGGACCAAAGACAGUGGAUUGUGUCUUUCUAGGGUAUGCUCAACGGAGCAUUGCUUAUAGGUUUUUAGUGGUAAAAUCUGAAGUACCUGAUAUGCAUGUUGAUACUAUAAUGGAAUCUCGUGAUGCAACAUUUUUUGAGAACAUAUUUCCUAUGAAAGAUAUGCAUAGCAUUGCUAGAUUUUCUUCUGAGAUAAUUCCUAAAUCUAGUACAACUGAUGAAUAUUUCGAACAAUCACAUGAGGAAGUCCUUGAGAAGGAUAACAAUGAAGUUCCUAGAAGGAACAAGAGACAAAGGAUUGCAAAAUCAUUUGGUGAUGAUUUCAUUGUAUACCUUGUGGACGACACACCCAAGACGAUUGCAGAAGCAUAUGCAUCUCCGGAUGUAGAUGUUUGGAAAGAAGUUGUUCAUAAUGAGAUGGACUCAAUUCUUUCUAAUGGAACUUGGGAACUAACUGAUAGACCAUAUGGUUGUAAACCUGUGGGCUGUAAGUGGGUGUUUAAAAAGAAGCUAAAGCCUGAUGGUACUAUUGAUAAGUACAAGGCGCGGCUAGUGGCCAAGGGCUACACUCAGAAAGAAGGCGAAGAUUACUUUGACACCUAUUCACCCAUUGCUAGAAUGACCACCAUUCGAGUGUUACUUUCCUUGGCUGCCUCUUAUGGUCUUAUCAUUCAUCAAAUGGAUGUAAAUACAGCUUUUCUCAAUGGAGAGUUGGAAGAGGAGAUCUAUAUGCAUCAGCCUGACGGGUUUGUGGUAAAGGGUAAGAGAGAAAGGUGUGCAAGUUGUUAA
rnacentral:rRNA from 1 species